UGCCGUGGGGGGAACCAGGGGCGAAAGGGGCAGACGGCUCCGCCCUGGCACCGGAUGCUGCCACCCCUCUCUUCCCUUCCUCUGAGGGUGCCUGUGACCCAGGGUCCUUGAGCCAAAGCUCCUCUGAACCCUACCUGGGGCUCUCCCACAAAGAUGCCUCCUGGAUUCCAGCUCCUCCCGUCAAAGUUCAAGGCCUGGGAAAUGUGGCCUUCAAGGACAAAAAUAAUCCCCUGCGGGGAUAGGGCAAAAAUGAACCCCGAAGGGAGCUUGGGGGGCCGCCUGGACUUGCCCACCAGUGAGGGCCGAGACUUUCCUCUGAGAAGGAGUUUGCGACGCUAUGCUUGGAAGGACUUUAACGCCAGGAUAACUGCCUUGGGUCCCUUGGUCAGAAUUAGUUCUGACCUGAGAAUGCUUCACAGAAAGGAGGACAUCUGACCUGCGGGGUAUCAUGGGGAUGAAGGAGGACACCCCGCCCCACAUGGAAGGAGCAACAGACACGGAGCACAGCAGAGGCAUGAACGGUGGCAUGCCAAGAAAGCUCUAGAAGUUUUGCUCAACAGUG
ensembl:lncRNA RBM38-AS1 RBM38 antisense RNA 1